rnacentral:rRNA from 1 species
CUUGAUAGCCCCUUACAUUUACUAUCCGCCCGGGUACUACGAGCAUCAGCUUAAAACCCAAAGGACCUGGCGGUGCUUUAGAUCCCCCUAGAGGAGCCUGUUCUAGAACCGAUAAUCCCCGUUAAACCUCACCCUCUCUUGCCCUUUCCGCCUAUAUACCGCCGUCGUCAGCUUACCCACUGAAGGAACCAUAGUAGGCAAAAUUAGUACAACUCAAAACGCCAGGUCGAGGUGCAGCAUAUGAGAGGGGAAGAAAUGGGCUACAUUCCCUAUUUUAGGGAAUACGAACCAUGCAAUGAAAUGUGCAUAGAAGGUGGAUUUAGCAGUAAGCAGAAAACAGAGCG